AAGUAUGUGAAUAUAGUGUACAACUUGAAGACGGAAGAGGUCUAUAAUGAUAAAUGAAAAAUAACAUGACUUGGAUGGAGAGUUGUCUCAUUUGCACUCAUACCACAUCUUCUUAUAACUAUUCACCUGUAAUUAACCUGUAAUUUACCUGUAAAAAAUCGGCGCAAAUGAAAACAAAAAUCGGCGCAAAUGAAAGAAAAAAUCGGCGCAAAUGCAAAACGCCGC
rnacentral:lncRNA from 1 species